UGCCGUCUCAGGUUGGUCAAGCCCCUCGCCCUAGCUUCACCUCUAUACCCAUUUCUACACUCAACGGUACGAGUAUCAAAUCUUUAACGGUGUAAACAUGGCCACUGGAAAGGCACCUUAACUUAUUAACAGUUUCUGACAGCUGAAAAUAUUCUUGUAACGAUGAGCGGCAUCCUUAAACUGUACAAAAGACUAUUAGCAAAAUUCCCGUUAUAUGUUCAAUCAGCCCAAGCUGGCAUUCUAAUGGGAACUGGUGAUCAAAUUGCUCAGAACUUCGUCGAACAACGCAAAUUCAAGGACCUAGAUUUCAACCGCAGCUCACAGUUUGUUUGUAUUGGCUCUUUCCUGGCAGGUCCUACAACGUCAAUCUGGUAUAGAAUUUUGGAAAGAAAUAUUGGAUCUAAAAGUUCAACAGCUGCUUUGAAAAAGGUACUGUUAGAUCAAGGAUGUUUUGCACCUUUCUUUAUAACAGUAUUAUUAACAGUUAUUGGAAAGUUGCAAGGAAAGGAUUUUGAAGGAAUAAAACGAAAACUGAAAAGUGAUUACUUCGACAUAUUGUUCAAUAAUUACAAGCUGUGGCCCAUGGUUCAAUUAGCUAAUUUUUAUUUCAUUCGGUUGGAAUACCAAGUGUUGGUAGUACAAUCGGUCGCUAUAUUCUGGAAUACGUAUAUCUCAUAUAGGACAAACCGGGAUGUACAACCUCAUAACAAAAGUACAUAACUCAUCAGAGUUGAUGAUAAAUCUUAUAACAAAGGUAUCGUUUUGAUCGUCUCUACUCUCGUGUGACGAAAGGUGAAGGGGUAUUUGCAGCCUUUGUCAACCAUUAGACCAUUCUUGAAAAACAACCUGUUCUUUGCAAUAUGGAAACCAACUGGAAACCGGUUGUAUCCCAACCUGGGAUUACCUGUGCCUACAAUACAUACGGGUGCACGAAUACGCAUAAUGUGGUUUGAUGGACAGUUUCAAAUCGUUCUGUUGAAACGCGUCUAUUGACGCUCAUUAGCAUGUAUGGAACUGAUGUCAUCUGUGAAAGAUCGAACGAUACAGAAGCUGCUAUUCUACAUGCAACUAGACUAUAAAUGAAUAUUACAAGUGUAUUGAUAUUUCAAUAAUAAGAUUGUAAAAGAAACUUCGAAGUGCAUAGGUAUAAAUAUGCCCAUUAUUACUAGCAUGACGCACAUAAAUAUUGAGGCAAUAAACAUUUGUAUAGUUACACAGUCGUAAAAAAUGUCAUGAAGCAAGGUGUGGAGAAAUAAAUGAAGUACAUUUUUCCCUAAGUGGCUUGUCAGAAAAAAGUCUGAUUAGGUAACAUACAUAUGUAUAAUGAUCAGACACUCUGAUUCUCAGAUUCGUGUUAAUGAAGACAACAAUGCUUGAAAGUUUGACCAUUAAUUUAUCGCCUUUUUUCGAAUGGGCUUAUCACUUUUCUGAUAUAAUGAUCAAUAAGAUGAUAGUUUUUACAACACCAAAAAUUGACUUUUAUGUGGAAAUUGAUCGUCUCUCAAAAGUUAACUCUUGACUGUGGAUGUGUAAGAGUUUUGGCUUCAUUGCAUUCGUCCCCGGGUCAAUGUAUAUAAACUUAAAACUAAAACAUUCUACUUAAUUACUAAGAGCAAGAGGUCUAUUUUGUGGGUGUUUGAUUACGUGCACGUGUAUUUGGAUCAGGUCUGUCUCUGUCAAAUGAUGGUGUAGAUGAGCGUCCUUUGAGUGGGUAGAUAUGAAGGUGUCGGCGGCAGAAGCAGUAGUAAUUAUGUCGUUCAGGUAUCUCACUUUAAUUUAGAUUGCUUAGUGAUACGGCGUCCGUGAUGAAUUUCGUUUUUGUUGAACGCCGAGAACUCGUGGGGUGUACUCGUUCUCAUCUCGUCUCAGUGGGUCUGCUGUGUCGUUCGCUUGCAUGUGAAUCUGGCCUGAUGCAAUUGCCACACUGUUUUAUCUCUGUAUAUUAAUAUGUAUGAUGAUGACUGGGUACGCUUUAUUUAGCCCCAGUUGUCACCACUGCCUCCCUGGUCACCCCUCUGCUAUACGCUGCUAUCAAGGUUGGAUGCCGACUGUCUCUUUCCAUUCUUCUUAUGUUAGUUUCUUCACUUUCUUCUCACCUCAUCGUUCUUCUCUUUAUUCCCAAUUCUCUUUCUCUUUCUAAACCUUUUUCUCUUUCUUUCUAAUCCUACUAUAGUAUAGAUUAUACAUACACAAUCCUACAGA
rnacentral:misc_RNA from 1 species